GUGCCAGCAGCCGCGGUAAGACGAGGGGUCCUAGCGUUGCUCGGAAUCAUUGGGCGUAAAGCGGAUGUAGGCGGUUUCAUAAGUCAGUUGUGAAAUCCCCGGGCUUAACCCGGGAAGUGCUUCUGAUACUGUGAGGCUUGAGUAUGGGAGAGGGCAGUAGAAUUCCUGGUGUAGUGGUGAAAUACGUAGAUAUCAGGAGGAAUACCGGUGGCGAAGGCGGCUGCCUGGCCCAAUACUGACGCUGAGAUCCGAAAGCGUGGGGAUCAAACAGGAUUAGAUACCCUGGUAGUCCACGCCGUAAACGAUGGACACUUGUUGUUGGAGGUAUUGACCCCUUCAGUGACGAAGCUAACGCGUUAAGUGUCCCGCCUGGGGAGUACGGCCGCAAGGUUAAA
rnacentral:rRNA from 1 species